ACUGUUCUGAUACACAAUCCAACUGUCGUGUUUAUAAUAAAUAAAUAAUAAAAUUAAAUUAAUUAAAACAUACAUAUGAUUAAUUUAUUAUGAAAUUAAUUUAAAGAUAGAAUUUUUAUCAAUCAGUCGGCCACAAUAUGUGCGCCAAUAAAGCCGUCAGUGUGCAGGAUUGGAUACUGCUGGAUGGAUCGAUUCUACCGUACCUU
rnacentral:lncRNA from 1 species